GCGCCUAUAGCUCAGUUGGUAGAGCAGCGCUCUCUUAAAGCGAAGGUCCCAGGUCCGAACCCUGGUGGGCGCA
rnacentral:tRNA from 1 species